ACGAGAAUAGAUAGGUCUUAGAGCCAUUUGCCUGAGGAAAUAGUGUUCUUGAUAGCUGGAUAAAUAAUGUUCAGAGUUUCUUUCUGGCAGUGACAAUUGGGGGAAAACUGUUUAUUGUCAGCAGAGAGGAGGCACCAUUCCAUUGUAAGUAUUUAGCUUAAUUCCAUAAUUCUGCAACCUGCUUAACCCUCCUCCACCC
rnacentral:lncRNA from 1 species